rnacentral:tRNA from 1 species
GGGCGCGUGGCCUAGCGGAUAUGGCAGCAGCCUCCUAAGCUGCAGGUCGGGGGUUCGAAUCCUCCCGCGCUCG